CCAGCUGCCAAAAAGGAAUACAAAAUACAUUACAAAACCAAAACAAACUGGCAAUGAUCAUACCCCCACAUUUCCAAAGAGAAGUGCAUAAAGAGGAAUGAGCAUGCAGGAAGUUAGACAUUUAUGCACUUCCCUUGGCCAACAACUACUGCCCUGACUUUGCAGCUUCCAGGAAGGAUUGCUGAAAGAAGGAGAGCAAGGCACGAUUCCUCUCAUCUUCAUGUUUGUGGCACUUCAAGUAUGGAAGAAUGCCAAAACCAUGAUGGAGGAAAUAGUUCAGUGACAACGACUGAGGUGCUCAAUCUGCUGCUACUGGCACAAUUAUCAAAUUUUAAUUUCCAUUCCAGUGAGCAACAGCUACACCUGUACACCUUCUCUGGACAGCUUUCCAAGUCAGAAGAGCAUAAAUUGCAUUGCAUGAAAGCAGAAAAGGAGGCGCUUUCAAGGGAGUGCAAGUGCAGAGGGAAUUUUUGGAAAUAUGGAGAAAAGGAAAUUACACAUGCAUGCAAUUCCCUCACUUCCUCACACACUAGAAGGACCUACAGUCUUAAGGCAGGGAGAUUUUAUUCCCACCUCUUCCACCAGAGAGGAUGCCUUUGGCUUAAUCUAAUACCUACAUGACACAAUACUACACUGCACAAUUCCGCACAGUAUUGCAUGUCAAGGUACCCACAACACAAACCAAAAUUAGUCACUUGAACAGCAAAGGCUUUUUCAAAAAACUCAAAACAGGAUGCAAAUUACCAUAAACUGGUAGAAUCCCAUUUCUAAAUCCUGUUCUUCCAUCGUUAACACACAUACAACAUCUGCACAAUCUGUUUUGUGUACAGGAUCUCUUGGAAAGAAAUUGUUGUAUGGAAAACAAGCAGUUGAGGACUACAAAGACUGUUUAAUUAAAAAAUAAUCUUUAGCUUAGGCAUGUAGAGCCAGUAGCAUAAAAGCCCUUGACUUUAUCCUCAAAAUUCAGCUGUGUUGCACAUAAAAUGCUUACCACUUUAAAGUUACACAACAAAAAUUAUCUGGAGUUAAUGCUCCCAUCCAACACUAAGGAAUCAGAAAGAUAAAAACAGUCUCCAUCCUUCCUUCCCAGCAGAAAUAAAUGUUGUUGUAGUUUCAGUUCUCUCCUCAAGACCUCUGUGCCAAGACAUAGCCUCUCUCCCUUUCGAGAUACACAGCUAGCCCCAUAAUAAGCAUGUGCAAAUAAAACUAAAGAUGUAAAGAGCAGGAGAAGAAGUGAACAAAAAAAGAUACCGAGCAUCAAGAGAUGUUAGGGAAGAGACCUAGGAUCCUUUCCAAUCCUCUUCCCUUUUUCCCUCCACCCAUGAAGUCCUCCAAACUAAGCCUGACUCCUGGGACCAUCACAAGUGAUAUAACUGGGAUUUUACUAACAAUUUGCUAUCAGUUUUGUUCUGCACACCAUAAAGUGCUUAAAAGAAUACGUCAGCUUGAAAACAAAAGAGCAAAUAAACUAAUGGCUCAAAAGGUGAUUAUUUCCCUGAAGUGAACUCUGAUGAAUGACACAACCUUAUUCCUUGAUCAGACAGUUAUAUAUAGGUCUAUCAUGUGGGCCCAAGCAUUCCAACUAAGCCUGUUGCAAAUAACCAGGUACCCUCUGUACUGCUGCUGUCAUUAAACCAAUAGCAUGCAAAACCUCCCCUCCAAAAGUGCUAGAAAAGGACCACUGCCAUUGUCAAGAGGGGUUGUUUCCAAUUCCAUGUCAACAUGACUACAACUGACACAUCUCUGGAAGCCAUCCAAGCACACCCACAAAGCAGGAGGACAGCAGGAUGGGCUAAGGGCCAAGCCAGAGCCUCACCAAAACACUGCACCAUUCAGAUACCAGCCAGCACUGAGCCUGGGAGCUGGACUCUGCAGCACAGUGCAAAAACACAGCCUUUCCUACUAGGAAAAAGCUCCUCUCCCUUUCUCUUAACAAGAAGAAUAUCAAUGUUUUGGACAACACUGUGGAUUAUUUUUUCCCCUCUCCUUGUGUUGCUUUUGUGAUAGAUAUAAUUACACCAUCAGCUGUUUAGAAUUUAGGGUCAGGGUUGAGGCAGAAGCACAUGCAGCCAUGGUGAGGGAAGGUGACUUGUCAACAUAAUGCUGUGGUGUUUCCAACACCAUGUAUCCUACAAAAUACAUAUGGAAUGAAAAUUUCAUCAUGUGUCCUGCACACAUAUCAACACCAACAUUCCAGACUGAGUAUUUGAGAAAAAUGCAUUGUUUGGACCUCCAAAUGUAGAGAAUUAGGCAUAUACAGAUAGGAGUUUCUUAAUUAUUUACAUGGUUACUUCUUUAGAGUUGGUAAUUUUGAUUAUCAUGGUAAAGCAGUUGUUCACAAAUUAAGUUGAGCCCAAAAAAACCUUUUCACAGCUUCAGGGUGUUGCCACAAACACCUGUGGUUAUAGCUAGAUUGUGUCACUGGCAUCGAAUCACUAACUCUGCAUCACCCAUUUUAAAGACCUGCUCUGGGAAUAAUGCUGUCAUGGUACCUUACUCCUCAUUUCCUCUAACCCAUACCUGGAUGUUUCAGCUUCUCAAGGUGAGAGAUUGAAAAUUUCCAGAAUGAUGGGGUUAUCUGGGGGGAACUUAUUUAAAUGUAAAUUUCCAUCUACUGAAUCACAAAUAAAAAGGUGGAUCACAGGAAUGAAGUCCCUCAUGCAGUGAAGACCUGUGUUCUUCCACGCUGAGUGAAGCUGCUUGAAAUGUGCAUGCUCAUUCUUCAGCAAUAUGGAGAUUAUGAUGUGAUUAGCCUGUAAUUGCACCUUCCUGUAUCCAGAUCAUGGAAACAAAAUACCAAACAACUCCUGUUUUUUUUUGUUUUGUUUUGUUUUAUAAGCAAGUAUGAACAGCUAAAAUAAAAUUAGUGUCUUCUCUUUCAUAAUUUCUUCCCAGCACCUUUAUUUUGAGUCUGAAAAGUUCUGAGUAUCUAUGUGGCAGCCAUUAAGUAAUCAUUAAUUGGAAGAGCUAUGCACUAAAAUAUAUAGUAAACAUAACAAAUCUUUCUUCAGUUUCCCCUAACUGCACAACAGAUGCAAGAAGUAGUUCCACCAGUCAUUUAUCUUAUUGCUGUUCUCAGCACCUUUCAGUCCCAUGUACUCUGAGUU